rnacentral:rRNA from 1 species
CACCUACGGGGGGCAGCAGUGGGGAAUAUUGGGCAAUGGGCGCAAGCCUGACCCAGCAAUGCCGCGUGAAGGAAGAAGGCCCUCGGGUUGUAAACUUCUUUUCUCAGGGACGAAGGAUGUGACGGUACCUGAUGAAUAAGCUCCGGCUAACUACGUGCCAGCAGCCGCGGCAAUACGUAGGGAGCAAGCGUUAUCCGGAUUUACUGGGUGUAAAGGGCGCGUAGGCGGGAUGGCAAGUCAGAUGUGAAAUCCAG